CUCCUUUGACGUUAGCGGCGGACGGGUGAGUAACACGUGGGUAACCUACCUAUAAGACUGGGAUAACUUCGGGAAACCGGAGCUAAUACCGGAUAAUAUUUCGAACCGCAUGGUUCAUAGUGAAAGGUGGUUUUGCUAUCACUUAUAGAUGGACCCGCGCCGUAUUAGCUAGUUGGUAAGGUAACGGCUUACCAGGGCGACGAUACGUAGCCGACCUGAGAGGGUGAUCGGCCACACUGGAACUGAGACACGGUCCAGACUCCUACGGGAGGCAGCAGGC
rnacentral:rRNA from 1 species